rnacentral:misc_RNA from 1 species
UCUCCGUAGGUGAACCUGCGGAGGGAUCAUUACAGAGUUCAUGCCCUACCGGGUAGAUCUCCCACCCUAUGUUAUUAUUACUUUGUUGCUUUGGCGGGCCGUUAGGCUCCGGCCCGACUACCGGCCCCGGCUGGUAAGCGCCCGCCAGAGGACCCAAAACCCUGAAUAUUAGUGUCGUCUGAGUACUAUAUAAUAAUUAAAACUUUCAACAACGGAUCUCUUGGUUCUG